rnacentral:rRNA from 1 species
UCCUACGGGGGGCAGCAGUGAGGAAUAUUGGUCAAUGGGCGAGAGCCUGAACCAGCCAAGUCGCGUGAGGGAGUACUGCCCUAUGGGUUGUAAACCUCUUUUGUCGGGGAGCAAAAGCCGGACGUGUCCGGCUGUGAGAGUACCCGAAGAAAAAGCAUCGGCUAACUCCGUGCCAGCAGCCGCGGUAAUACGGAGGAUGCGAGCGUUAUCCGGAUUUAUUGGGUUUAAAGGGUGCGUAGGCGGUUUGAUAAGUUAGAGGUGAAAUGUCGGGGCUCAACCCCGAAACCGCCUCUAAUA